GAGCUACUUCCUGUCAAACUGUGCUUGGAUUACCUUGCUAUUCUGCCCAUUCACUGGCUCUUAGCCUACCUCCCUCAGUUCCUUGUUAUUGCCUAUCUAUACAGACCUCCAGGUCUCUAUGGUUGGUACUGGGAUUAAAGGCAUGUGUCACCACUCUUGGCUCUGUUCCCU